rnacentral:lncRNA from 1 species
AGUCCCUUGGUUACAAAACUAAAUUUCUGUUGUCGCAGGUCUUUGUAUUUCACUCACAACCUUUGUAAAUUCCCCCUCUUGUACUUCAUCUCUUCUAAAUAAAAUUUGUAUGGCAUUCUUUGCCUCCCUUUUCCAUCCGGACAAAAAGAGUGGGACUGCAUUGCCAUGGACUAUAGUUGCUGACAAAGAAGAGAGUGGGGAGGA